rnacentral:rRNA from 1 species
UGAGGAAUCUUGCGCAAUGGGCGAAAGCCUGACGCAGCGACGCCGCGUGAGGGAUGAAGGCCUUCGGGUUGUAAACCUCUGUCAGGGGGGAAGAAUCCGGAGUCGGUGAAUACCCGACUCCACUGACGGUACCCCCAGAGGAAGCACCGGCUAACUCCGUGCCAGCAGCCGCGGUAAGACGGAGGGUGCAAACGUUGUUCGGAAUCACUGGGCGUAAAGGGCGCGUAGGCGGACUCGUAAGUCGGGAGUGAAAACUCGGGGCUCAACCCCGAGCCUGCUUCUGAAACUGCGAGUCUUGAGGACCGGAGAGGAAAGUGGAAUUCCUAGUGUAGCGGUGGAAUGCGUAGAUAUUAGGAAGAACACCAGUGGCGAAGGCGACUUUCUGGACGGUUCCUGACGCUGAGGCGCGAAAGCUAGGGGAGCGAAACAGGGAUUAGAUACCCUGGUAGUCCUAGCCGUAAACGAUGAGUGCUAGGUGGUGGUAGUUUCAACUACUUUCACCGUCCGCAGCCAACGCAUUAACG